rnacentral:lncRNA from 1 species
AUGGGUCUGAAACGGGAUGGAGUCUCACUGGUCUCCUGUGAUUCACUGUUGGUUGGAGACUUUGCCAACUCCCCAGCUUCCGUGGUGAGCCCCCAGGAAGAAGACUCCUCCUCCUCUGCCUCUUCCAGACGCCAGGCACCUUACUGUCUUUGGUAUGUCUCCACCCCCUGCUUGAGCAGUUUUUCAGGGUUUCUUCCGUCUUCUCCUUUCCUCGUCCCACUAGGGAAACACUUUGUGCAUCUCUUCUUGGGAGGCUCAUGUGGUAAGUUUCCUCCUCUGUCUCUGAGAUUUCCUCAAGAACUUUGCCUAGGGGACCUUCUGGGCUCCUGUACAGAUCUCUCUUUGUUCUUUGCAAGCAGUCUAUCAGAUCCAUGCCUGGAUCCCUCCAUGUCUGGAAUAUCUCUGGACCCUCUGAGUGGACACUCUGUGGAGGCUGGCUGUUGUCAUCUGCCCGUGACGAGGGGCAUGGACUGCUAUGAUUACCUUCUUCCUGACUUGUUACUGACAGUUUGUCCUGAGACGUCAUAAGGUCCAGAGAUAGUU